UUUAAAAUAUAUGAACCAUUUGUUUAUGUAUAAAGUUGUGUUUGGUUAGAGUGUUUGAAUUGUUUAGUUUUACGUUUGGAUCUGGAUAUAAUAUGAAGCUGAUAUGGUUUCGAGUAUUUUGGUUCUGGUUACAUUUCUCUUCAGAUUUAUUGUUUCCAAUAAAGUAAAAUAAAACAUUUUGAAUUUUGUUUUUCAUUUUUUUUCUUUAAAUAGGGUAUAAUAAGAUAGCAAACAAUAGCAUAUAUAUUAUGAAAGUGCGACGAUUGUUUCAGUUAUAUUAACAUAUCCAAAUAUGUAUAUUUUGCUUGUAUUUUAUAAGAGAUUAAAUUUCUACAUGUUUAAUGUUAUUUCGAACUACACAAUUGAGAAAGUUGUCUAAAUUUUUC
rnacentral:lncRNA from 1 species